rnacentral:rRNA from 1 species
AUUGAACGCUGGCGGAAUGCUUUACACAUGCAAGUCGAACGGCAGCACGGACUUCGGUCUGGUGGCGAGUGGCGAACGGGUGAGUAAUACAUCGGAACGUGCCCAGUCGUGGGGGAUAACGUAGCGAAAGCUACGCUAAUACCGCAUACGAUCUAAGGAUGAAAGCGGGGGAUCGCAAGACCUCGCGCGAGUGGAGCGGCCGAUGGCAGAUGAGGUAGUUGGUAGGGUAAAGGCCUACCCAGCCGACGAUCUGUAGCUGGUCUGAGAGGACGACCAGCCACACUGGGACUGAGACACGGCCCAGACUCCUACGGGAGGCAGCAGUGGGGAAUUUUUGACAAUGGACGCAAGUCUGAUCCAGCCAUUCCGCGUGCAGGAUGAAGGCCCUCGGGUUGUAAACUGCUUUUGUACAGAACGAAAAGGCUCUGGUUAAUACCUGGAGCUCAUGACGGUACUGUAAGAAUAAGCACCGGCUAACUACGUGCCAGCCGCCGCCGUAA